rnacentral:rRNA from 1 species
CGGGAGGCAGCAGUAGGGAAUCUUCCGCAAUGGACGAAAGUCUGACGGAGCAACGCCGCGUGAGUGAUGAAGGUUUUCGGAUCGUAAAGCUCUGUUGUUAGGGAAGAACAAGUACCGUUCGAAUAGGGCGGUACCUUGACGGUACCUAACCAGAAAGCCACGGCUAACUACGUGCCAGCAGCCGCGGUAAUACGUAGGUGGCAAGCGUUGUCCGGAAUUAUUGGGCGUAAAGGGCUCGCAGGCGGUUUCUUAAGUCUGAUGUGAAAGCCCCCGGCUCAACCGGGGAGGGUCAUUGGAAACUGGGGAACUUGAGUGCAGAAGAGGAGAGUGGAAUUCCACGUGUAGCGGUGAAAUGCGUAGAGAUGUGGAGGAACACCAGUGGCGAAGGCGACUCUCUGGUCUGUAACUGACGCUGAGGAGCGAAAGCGUGGGGAGCGAACAGGAUUAGAUACCCUGGUAGUCCACGCCGUAAACGAUGAGUGCUAAGUGUUAGGGGGUUUCCGCCCCUUAGUGCUGCAGCUAACGCAUUAAGCACUCCGCCUGGGGAGUACGGUCGCAAGACUGAAACUCAAAGGAAUUGACGGGGGCCCGCACAAGCGGUGGAGCAUGUGGUUUAAUUCGAAGCAACGCGAAGAACCUUACCAGGUCUUGACAUCCUCUGACAAUCCUAGAGAUAGGACGUCCCCUUCGGGGGCAGAGUGACAGGUGGUGCAUGGUUGUCGUCAGCUCGUGUCGUGAGAUGUUGGGUUAAGUCCCGCAACGAGCGCAACCCUUGAUCUUAGUUGCCAGCAUUCAGUUGCGCACUCUAAAGUGACUGCCGGUGACAAACCGGAGGAAGGUGGGGGAUGACAUCCUAUCAUCAUGCCCCCUUAUGAGCUGGGCUACACACGUGCUACAAUGUGA